rnacentral:rRNA from 1 species
GGGUUGUGAGGUUAAGCGACUAAGCGUACACGGUGGAUGCCCUGGCAGUCAGAGGCGAUGAAGGACGUGCUAAUCUGCGAUAAGCGUCGGUGAGGUGAUAUGAACCGUUAUAACCGGCGAUUUCCGAAUGGGGAAACCCAGUGUGUUUCGACACACUAUCAUUAACUGAAUCCAUAGGUUAAUGAGGCGAACCGGGGGAACUGAAACAUCUAAGUACCCCGAGGAAAAGAAAUCAACCGAGAUUCCCCCAGUAGCGGCGAGCGAACGGGGAGGAGCCCAGAGCCUGAAUCAGUGUGUGUGUUAGUGGAAGCGUCUGGAAAGGCGCGCGAUACAGGGUGACAGCCCCGUACACAAAAAUGCACAUAUUGUGAGCUCGAUGAGUAGGGCGGGACACGUGGUAUCCUGUCUGAAUAUGGGGGGACCAUCCUCCAAGGCUAAAUACUCCUGACUGACCGAUAGUGAACCAGUACCGUGAGGGAAAGGCGAAAAGAACCCCGGCGAGGGGAGUGAAAUAGAACCUGAAACCGUGUACGUACAAGCAGUGGGAGCCUCUUAAUGGGGUGACUGCGUACCUUUUGUAUAAUGGGUCAGCGACUUAUAUUCUGUAGCAAGGUUAACCGAAUAGGGGAGCCGAAGGGAAACCGAGUCUUAACUGGGCGUUAAGUUGCAGGGUAUAGACCCGAAACCCGGUGAUCUAGCCAUGGGCAGGUUGAAGGUUGGGUAACACUAACUGGAGGACCGAACCGACUAAUGUUGAAAAAUUAGCGGAUGACUUGUGGCUGGGGGUGAAAGGCCAAUCAAACCGGGAGAUAGCUGGUUCUCCCCGAAAGCUAUUUAGGUAGCGCCUCGUGAAUUCAUCUCCGGGGGUAGAGCACUGUUUCGGCAAGGGGGUCAUCCCGACUUACCAACCCGAUGCAAACUGCGAAUACCGGAGAAUGUUAUCACGGGAGACACACGGCGGGUGCUAACGUCCGUCGUGAAGAGGGAAACAACCCAGACCGCCAGCUAAGGUCCCAAAGUCAUGGUUAAGUGGGAAACGAUGUGGGAAGGCCCAGACAGCCAGGAUGUUGGCUUAGAAGCAGCCAUCAUUUAAAGAAAGCGUAAUAGCUCACUGGUCGAGUCGGCCUGCGCGGAAGAUGUAACGGGGCUAAACCAUGCACCGAAGCUGCGGCAGCGACACUAUGUGUUGUUGGGUAGGGGAGCGUUCUGUAAGCCUGUGAAGGUGUACUGUGAGGUAUGCUGGAGGUAUCAGAAGUGCGAAUGCUGACAUAAGUAACGAUAAAGCGGGUGAAAAGCCCGCUCGCCGGAAGACCAAGGGUUCCUGUCCAACGUUAAUCGGGGCAGGGUGAGUCGACCCCUAAGGCGAGGCCGAAAGGCGUAGUCGAUGGGAAACAGGUUAAUAUUCCUGUACUUGGUGUUACUGCGAAGGGGGGACGGAGAAGGCUAUGUUGGCCGGGCGACGGUUGUCCCGGUUUAAGCGUGUAGGCUGGUUUUCCAGGCAAAUCCGGAAAAUCAAGGCUGAGGCGUGAUGACGAGGCACUACGGUGCUGAAGCGACAAAUGCCCUGCUUCCAGGAAAAGCCUCUAAGCAUCAGGUAACAUCAAAUCGUACCCCAAACCGACACAGGUGGUCAGGUAGAGAAUACCAAGGCGCUUGAGAGAACUCGGGUGAAGGAACUAGGCAAAAUGGUGCCGUAACUUCGGGAGAAGGCACGCUGAUAUGUAGGUGAAGCGACUUGCUCGUGGAGCUGAAAUCAGUCGAAGAUACCAGCUGGCUGCAACUGUUUAUUAAAAACACAGCACUGUGCAAACACGAAAGUGGACGUAUACGGUGUGACGCCUGCCCGGUGCCGGAAGGUUAAUUGAUGGGGUUAGCGGUAACGCGAAGCUCUUGAUCGAAGCCCCGGUAAACGGCGGCCGUAACUAUAACGGUCCUAAGGUAGCGAAAUUCCUUGUCGGGUAAGUUCCGACCUGCACGAAUGG